UACGUAGGGUGCGAGCGUUAAUCGGAAUUACUGGGCGUAAAGCGUGCGCAGGCGGUGAUGUAAGACAGUUGUGAAAUCCCCGGGCUCAACCUGGGAACUGCAUCUGUGACUGCAUCGCUGGAGUGCGGCAGAGGGGGAUGGAAUUCCGGCGUGUAGCAGUGAAAUGCGUAGAUAUGCGGAGGAACACCGAUGGCGAAGGCAGCCCCCUGGGUUAACACUGACGCUCGAGGCA
rnacentral:rRNA from 1 species